CCUACGGGAGACUGCAGUGAGGAAUAUUUGUCAAUGGACGAGAGUCUGAACCAGCCACGUAGCGUGAAGGAUGACUGCCCUAUGGGUUGUAAACUUCUUUUAUAAAGGAAUAAAACGAGACACGUGUGCCUUUUUGCAUGUACUUUAUGAAUAAGGAUCGGCUAACUCCGUGCCAGCAGCCGCGGUAAUACGGAGGAUCCGAGCGUUAUCCGGAUUUGUUGGGUUUAAAGGGAGCGUAGAUGGUUUGUUAAGUCAGGUGUGAAAGUUUGCGGCUCAACCGUAAAAUUGCAAUUGAUACUGGCAGACUUGAGUACAGGUGAGGUAGGCGGAAUUCGCGGUGUAGCGGUGAAAUGCUUAGAUAUCACGAAGAACCCCCAUGGCGAAGGCAGCUUCCUAAACUGUGACUGACAUUGAUGCUCGAAAGUGAGGGUAUCAAACAGGAUUAGAUACCCUGGUAGUC
rnacentral:rRNA from 1 species